UUUUGGUAAUAUGCAAAGUUUUGGUAAUGUAUAUGCAAAAUUUUUGUAUUCUUUGGUUGGUUUGUUGACAUUGUUUAUGGGUUGUACAUUGGGAACAUGUUUGUUGAAGCCAGCUUCUUCAUUAGGAUGUCAUCCUCAGCUUCUUCAUAGAUUUCGACGAACAACUCAAGUGCACCUAUGGGAAGCUCGCAAAACUUAGAACAUCGAAUACGCCAAGAAAUUCGGGCCGAUCAUUUUUUGGGUGUCCAAACUACAAUAUAGAGGAAUUACCACACUGCAACUAUUUCAAAUGGGCAAAUCACAGUGAGGAAAGAGAAAAAAAACUUGUGAAGAUAGAAAUUGAGUUGUUAAGAAAUGAGGAAGAGCUUCGAA